rnacentral:rRNA from 1 species
GUGGGGAAUUUUGGACAAUGGGCGCAAGCCUGAUCCAGCAAUGCCGCGUGCAGGAAGAAGGCCUUCGGGUUGUAAACUGCUUUUGUACGGAACGAAACGGUCCUGGUUAAUACCUGGGGCUAAUGACGGUACCGUAAGAAUAAGCACCGGCUAACUACGUGCCAGCAGCCGCGGUAAUACGUAGGGUGCGAGCGUUAAUCGGAAUUACUGGGCGUAAAGCGUGCGCAGGCGGUGCUGUAAGACAGGCGCGAAAUCCCCGGGCUCAACCUGGGAAUUGCGCUUGUGACUGCAGUGCUGGAGUACGGCAGAGGGGGAUGGAAUUCCGCGUGUAGCAGUGAAAUGCGUAGAUAUGCGGAGGAACACCGAUGGCGAAGGCAGUCCCCUGGGCCUGUACUGACGCUCAUGCACGAAAGCGUGGGGAGCAAACAGGAUUAGAUACCCGGGUAGUCC